rnacentral:rRNA from 1 species
GAUGAACGCUGGCGGCGUGCUUAACACAUGCAAGUCGAGCGAAGCACUAAAGCGGAUUUCUUCGGAUUGAAGGUUUAGUGACUGAGCGGCGGACGGGUGAGUAACGCGUGGGUAACCUGCCUCAUACAGGGGGAUAACAGUUGGAAACGGCUGCUAAUACCGCAUAAGCGCACAGUACCGCAUGGUACGGUGUGAAAAACUCCGGUGGUAUGAGAUGGACCCGCGUCUGAUUAGGUAGUUGGUGGGGUAACGGCCUACCAAGCCGACGAUCAGUAGCCGACCUGAGAGGGUGACCGGCCACAUUGGGACUGAGACACGGCCCAAACUCCUACGGGAGGCAGCAGUGGGGAAUAUUGCACAAUGGGGGAAACCCUGAUGCAGCGACGCCGCGUGAGCGAAGAAGUAUUUCGGUAUGUAAAGCUCUAUCAGCAGGGAAGAAAAUGACGGUACCKACUAAGAGCCCCRMYUYYG